ACAGUUCUCGAUAGGUCAUUGCGUAGUAUCUGUUCUUCUCAGCUUGACCGCUGGGAGCCUUCCUUAGAAAGGCAAUUUCGUUCGCUAUUUUUUGAAUUCCUGGUGGGUUUCCUCUGUGCAUGCAUAUGACACCCUCCACUGCGUCCCUGGUAUUUCACUGCCUCCAGGUGAUGCGAAAGAAG
rnacentral:snRNA from 1 species